GAUGGAACGGGAGGUAUUUGAUCUGGGCAGUGAAUGGGAUGAUGAGGAGUAUGGAGAAGUGUGGAUGAGAUGGAUGAGGAAUAAAGGUGGUAGGCCUGAACGACGGGUUAGGAAUAAUCAUAGAGAUGAGGCGGAUGGGAACAUGGGCAAUAUCAAAAUGUCCAUUCCGCAAUUUAAGGGAAAGAGUGACCCAAAGGCGUACUUGGAGUGGAAAAGGAAGGUGAAAUUAAUUUUUGAGUGCUAUAAUUAUUCGGAGAAGAAGAAGGUGAAGUUAGCAGUGUUAAAGUUUAUUGAUUACGCAAUAACUUGGUAGGAUCAAGUGGUUACUACACAGCGACAGUGUGGGAGAAGACCAAUUAGUACUUGGGAGGAUUUGAAGACAUUGAUGAGGAAGCAUUUCGUUCCUAACCACUACUAUAGAGAGAUCCAUCAGAAGUUGUAGAGCCUGUCUCAAGGGUCGAGGAGAAUAGAGGACUAUCACAAGGAAAUGAAAAUACUCAUGAUCAGGGCAAAUAUGGUAGAGGAUCUGGAAGCUACCAUGGCACAGUUCUUAAACAAUUUAAAUUGGGAAAUUGCUAAUAUAGUGGAGUUGCAACAUUACAUGGAGUUGGAG
rnacentral:lncRNA from 1 species